CCUACGGGAGGCAGCAGUGAGGAAUAUUGGUCAAUGGUCGCGAGACUGAACCAGCCAAGCAGCGUGAAGGAUGAAUGUACUGAGUGUUGUAAACUUCUUUUAUCAGGGAAUAAAGACUGGCACGCGUGCCCUUUUGUAUGUACCUUAUGAAAAAGCAUCGGCUAACUCCGUGCCAGCAGCCGCGGUAAUACGGAGGAUCCGAGCGUUAUCCGGAUUUAUUGGGGUUAAAGGGAGCGUAGAUGGGCUGUUAAGUCAGUUGUGAAAGUUUGCGGCUCAACCGUAAAAUUGCAUUUGAAACUGGCAGCCUGGAGUACAGUAGAGGUACGCGGAAUGCGUGGUGUAGCGGUGAAAUGCUUAGAUAUCACGAAGAACUCCGAUUGCGAAGGCAGCCUACUAAACUGCCACUGACAUUGAGGCUCGAAAGUGUGGGUAUCAAACAGGAUUAGAUACCCUUGUAGUC
rnacentral:rRNA from 1 species